UACGUAGGUGGCAAGCGUUGUCCGGAUUUACUGGGCGUAAAGAGCGCGCAGGCGGUCGUUCAAGUCGCGUGUGAAAGCCCCCGGCUCAACUGGGGAGGGUCACGCGAUACUGAUCGACUCGAAGGCAGGAGAGGGAAGUGGAAUUCCCGGUGUAGUGGUGAAAUGCGUAGAUAUCGGGAGGAACACCAAUGGCGAAGGCAGCUCGCUGGAACGGUACUGACGCUGAGGCGCGAAAGCGUGGGGAGCGAACAGG
rnacentral:rRNA from 1 species